rnacentral:tRNA from 1 species
GGCUGUAGCUCAGUGGCACAGCACUUGCCUAGCAUGCGUGAGGCACUGGGUUCGAUCCUCAGCACCA